rnacentral:rRNA from 1 species
GCCUCCCUCAAGAUGAGUUUUCCCAUGAAGCCCGUUGGAGACUACGACGUUGAUAGGCGAGGUGUGGAAGCACAGUAAUGUGUGUAGCUAACUCGUACUAAUUGGCUGAUUGUCUUGACCAUAUAACCUGAGCUGCUUUUAGG